rnacentral:RNase_P_RNA from 1 species
GUUGCAAUCUGCUUUGCCGCGUUUCAUGCAAAUGGAAUGAGGAAAGUCCGGACAACACAGAGCACCGCACCAGCUAACGGCUGGGGUUCAUUUCUAUGAAUACAGAUAGUGCCACAGAAAAUAACUGCUUCUGAUCGAAGUAAAGGUGAAAAUGUGAGGUAAGAGCUCACGGCUAUUGAUGGUAACAUUAGUAGCGGGUAAACCUUGCGGGUUGAAAGACCAAAUAAGUCAACAUUUGAUGGCUGCUCGCCAGAGUUGAUGGGUAGGUCGAUCGACUAUACCGGCGACGGUAUAGCUAGAUAAAUGGCAAAGGUCUCCUUUAGGGGAGAUACAGAAUCCGGCUUACAGGAUUGCAACUAUU